rnacentral:rRNA from 1 species
GAUGAACGCUGGCGGCGUGCCUAAUACAUGCAAGUCGAGCGAACGGACGAGAAGCUUGCUUCUCUGAUGUUAGCGGCGGACGGGUGAGUAACACGUGGAUAACCUACCUAUAAGACUGGGAUAACUUCGGGAAACCGGAGCUAAUACCGGCUAAUAUUUUGAACCGCCUGGUUCAAAAGUGAAAGACGGUCUUGCUGUCACUUAUAGAUGGAUCCGCGCUGCAUUAGCUAGUUGGUAAGGUAACGGCUUACCAAGGCAACGAUGCAUAGCCGGCCUGAGAGGGUGACCGGCCACACUGGAACUGAGACACGGUCCAGACUCCUACGGGAGGCAGCAGUAGGGAAUCUUCCGCAAUGGGCGAAAGCCUGAUGGAGCAACGCCGCGUGUGUGAUGAAGGUCUUCGGAUCGUAAAGCUCUGUUAUUAGGGAAGAACAUAUGUGUAAGUAACUGUGCACAUCAUGACGGUACCGAAUCAGUAAGCCCCGGCUAACUACGUG